rnacentral:lncRNA from 1 species
UCCAUUUGUACAAGAACAUGCACAUAUUUUUUGCUCCAUUUUCAUUCUUCUUUGACAAAGCUUGCCUACCAAGUUCCACGAGGUACUACUAACCCUCUCUCUUCUUCAGCUACGACUGAACAAGACUGCAUGUACAGAUAUUCACAUAACAAACACGACGAACAAACACACAUUCAGGCUAACUCGGGUGAAAGCUUCUGCAAUCCCAGCUUCACCACAGACCUGUAGACCUAGAGUAAAGGAUCUACUUACUAAACUCAACUCCAGCACCACCGCUGCUUCGGCCC